rnacentral:lncRNA from 1 species
UUUUGGGUAGCCUAUAACCUUUGCAUUUUUUAAACUCAAAACGUUGGUUUUCUCUUUGUAAUUGAAAUAUUGAAACACACAAAAGUUUAAUCAGGAUCUCUUUUUGAGAACUUCAGGCUUUGCACUGAGCUUACAAACAGUGUAGUUGCAGAUUGUAUUCACACCGACACUAGGAAUCAGAUGAGACUCAUCUGGUCUGGAAGAGAAGUUGUACCUACUGACUCAGCCAUACCCCAAUUGAAAUAAGAAGAGCAGAAUUGGGCCCUAGAAAUCACGUCAAAAUCAACCAAAAUUAGCUAAAUUCCAUGCACUUCCCUCUGAAAAGAGAGAUCCAUAAUUUUCAUCAAAAAAUAUGGGAUAUAUUUGAACGAAACAAAGGUUCAAUGAAAAGCUACUUGUAGCAGCAGUUUCAAAACUAGUGCUGCUUGCCAACAUUGAGUCAACACUCGACAUUCAAAAAACUUAGAGGUUUGCAUGAAAAUGUUCAUGUGAACCCUUGAGAAAUAAAAAUAAAAUGAAAAAUUAAUAAAUAAAUAGAGAGCGAGAGCUUGUCCAGAUGCAGGCCACUAGAGCACUAGAAUAGAAGGCAGCUUCUGCUUCUCCUGUCAAUUAUAAACUAACACCAGAGAAGACAAAUUCACUUGAUUGAACUUUCACUGUCCCAUCACUCCCUUAAAACCAGUAGCAAAACCAAAAUGUUGCACUGCCCUAUGUUUUAAUAUUUCUGUGGACCUGUGAGAAAAAAAAUCACAUGUAGCUCUAGAGAGCCAAUUUUAACAAACACACAUGAAAACAAAAUGUAACCCAUCCAUACAGAGCUAUCAAGAGAAACAUUAAGGAAUGAACAUCCAGCCCACCAUGUUAGCCUUUGUUAAUAGAAACCUGAUUUUACACCUCCUUGCUUUCUUCACCCUAGCUCUCACAUGCUCUUUCUCAAGAAACAAACCUAGGCUUUCCUUGAACUCAUUUAUCCUUUCCUUGCUGGUAAUUUAUUCCAUAUGUUUCUGCCUGAGUUUCCUAUUUACCCGUGCUUUUCUAAAUUUUAGAUUAAAGGGAUCUAUCUAUAUCUAUCUGUAUCUACCAUUGAUAUUCCAAUGACAAGAUUGAUGGUAACAAUGUCUGCACAAAUCUAUGGAGACUAACAUGAGAGUGAAAUAAAACAGCAUUAAUACAAUAUGCUAUCAUUUCGAAAAAUAAAUUUAAGGCCAGCCUGGCAACCUACUUCUACCACAUGGGUUACUGGGGCUAAUUCCCAGACCAGCAGGGGCCAGGACUACAGAGGAAGCAAUACACAUAGUCCUGUUGUGACUGAGUAGGUUGUAGUACUUGAUAGCAAGCCCUUUGUAGCACUGAAGAGCUCAACAGGGCUCCCCUCCUCCUCACAAAGAACCACAGUUACUGCAGCAGAAUACCCCAAAGGCAUAAAAAAGGAGCAAAAGUUUGUAACAGGACUUGUCACAGUUAAGAAAAAACAAAAACAGAAACAAAAAAACCAAAACAAACAAACAAACAAAAAAAAAAACCAACAAGGUCGGGGGGGGGGACAAACCCAAAAAAAUCCCUAAAACAAAACAGAACAGAAACUGUAGCAAAAUUAGCAUUAAGGAUGAAACAAGUUUAUAUUAAAAGAAAGAGUCAGGACUGCCAUUUAUCCCUUUGCACCAUGAUUCUCAUUUCAGCCUGAUGGCAAGAAAGGCUUAUGGGCCAUCCCUGGCUGCCCCCUGCAGCUAACCUCCCCUACACCCCUACACAGAUCACAAGGCGAAAGUCAGCUCAUACUCUCCUUUCUUACCCUCCUUUUUCCUCCCCAUAUCUUGCUUCUCCUGUCCACAAAAACUUUCCCACUCGGCCUUUCCCUGGCACUACAGGCAGCCUGCUUGUGAUAACCCCUACCUGAUCUUCACUGACUUCUACCUUCCCAUCAUGCACUUGCUCUCUCUGGAAGCCCAAGAUGCCUACGGCUGGACAGUUUAACACAUCGAAACUGAGCAGCUGGUUUGAAGAAGCGAGAUCUGUUGCUUGUCCUGCACUGAGAGUGCUGCCGAAGCCACCAUUGCUAUUUUCAGGCCAGGCUACCCGCAGAACUCUCUGUUAAUGUCCUACCAUGAUAGGCAGCACUGCUUUCUUCAUAACAUGACAAAUACUUGUAAGGACCUACCUAAUUUUGCUUUUGGUUGUACAUGUCUCAAAUACUGCAGUGCAAUGGACAAAGGUUAUUGUGGCUAUUUUAGUUCUGUUUUCUUCAUCUGUGUUUAAAGCACAGUCAGAUUAUAACAAAAUUGUUUGUCUUUAAUAUAGUUCAACUUGACCUGAUUAGCCCUUCUCUUUAGAAAACAAUCUCACAUGAAGUAUUUAGAUUAAGACCUGUAAAAAAUAGCGACUUCAAAAUACUUUCAAGGCCCCAUCUUACAAAUUUUAAAAAACACAGACAACUGGGCUAAUUAUAAUUACUCCUCUAUAGUUUUUUUGCUUUUUUUGAUGUAUCUGGUUAUCUAGUAAGAUGCACCUAAAAACAACAGCAAAUUUAAACAUAAGGGAAAAGUGCCAAAUUCAGGAUACUGGAAGAAUCUUCCCUCUGGGAGCAUGUUUAGUCACAGCAUUGGCGCAGCUGGGCAAAGGCAACCCACAUCCCUCCUUGCUACCCUAUUUCUUUCCUGAUCUGGACCUCUGCUACCUCUGAAAAGAUUUUUCAAAUCCCUCACUCAGUGCUUGGCUUCAUUGCUUAACCUGACAGUAGGAGUGAAAAUGUCACAGCAGUUGUGAUCCACUCAGAUCUAGACAGACUCUACUCAGUUAUUUCAUGUUAAGCAACAAACAUCCAUCAGAUCGUUACAGUUUUCACCUGUCUCUAUCCAAGCUCAGAUUCUGAGCAAUGACUUGGUCAUAAAAAGUUCAUACUCC